AUUGAACGCUGGCGGCAGGCCUAACACAUGCAAGUCGAGCGGAUGAAGGGAGCUUGCUCCUGGAUUCAGCGGCGGACGGGUGAGUAAUGCCUAGGAAUCUGCCUGGUAGUGGGGGAUAACGUCCGGAAACGGGCGCUAAUACCGCAUACGUCCUGAGGGAGAAAGCGGGGGAUCUUCGGACCUCACGCUAUCAGAUGAGCCGAGGUCGGAUUAGCUAGUUGGUGGGGUAAAGGCCUACCAAGGCGACGAUCCGUAACUGGUCUGAGAGGAUGACCAGCCACACUGGGACUGAGACACGGACGAGACUGCGACGGGAGGCAGCAGUGGGGAAUUUUGGACAAUGGGGGCAACCCUGAUCCAGCCAUGCCGCGUGCGGGAAGAAGGGCUUCGGGUUGUAAACCGUUUUUGUUCGGGAAGAAAUCCUCUGGGCUAAUACCCCGGGGGGAUGACGGUACCGGAAGAAUAAGCACCGGCUAACUACGUG
rnacentral:rRNA from 1 species